GACAGAGGUGCCAAGCGUUAGGCGGAAUCACUGGGCUUAAAGCGUGUGUAGGCGGAUUCCUAAGUACCUUGUGAAAUCCCACGGCUCAACCGUGGAACUGCUCGGUAUACUGGGUAUCUUGAGCCACUUAGGGGCGACCGGAACAAAUGGUGGAGCGGUGAAAUGCGCAGAUAUCAUUUGGAACGCCAUGGUGAAAACAGGUCGCUGGGAGUGUGCUGACGCUGAGACACGAAAGCCAGGGGAGCAAACGGG
rnacentral:rRNA from 1 species